rnacentral:rRNA from 1 species
CCUACGGGAGGCAGCAGUGAGGAAUAUUGGUCAAUGGGCUUACGCCUGAACCAGCCAAGUCGCGUGAGGGAAGACUGCCCUAUGGGUUGUAAACCUCUUUUGUCAGGGAGCAACGCCGGCCACGUGUAGCCGGACUGAGAGUACCUGAAGAAAAAGCAUCGGCUAACUCCGUGCCAGCAGCCGCGGUAAUACGGAGGAUGCGAGCGUUAUCCGGAUUUAUUGGGUUUAAAGGGUGCGUAGGCGGAAGGUUAAGUCAGCGGUAAAAUGUCGGUGCUCAACACCGGCCUGCCGUUGAAACUGGUCUUCUUGAGUGAGCGAGAAGUAUGCGGAAUGCGUGGUGUAGCGGUGAAAUGCAUAGAUAUCACGCAGAACUCCGAUUGCGAAGGCAGCAUACCGGCGCUCAACUGACGCUGAGGCACGAAAGCGUGGGGAUUGAACAGGAUUAGAUACCCCAGUAGUC